rnacentral:tRNA from 3 species
GGGCCCAUAGCUCAGCUGGCUAGAGCGCACGACUGAUAAUCGUGAGGUCGGUGGUUCGAGUCCACCUGGGCCCACCA